AACACUGUCUGUCAACGUGUUGCUUCGUGCAUGUGACAACAUACUCGGUCGAGUGUUGAAUUUAUCGAACUUUUAUCAUUACAGAAGAAAAAAUGUCAGACUUUGUAUUUCCUAAUGAUCAGCCUGUUGUGUUAUUAGAUUGUG